GUUCAAAGUUUUUGCCAUCAUGUAGGUGAGAAGAAGAGGUAAAGAAUGACAAAAUUUAUAUUUUGAAAUGACUUCAGCUACAGAGUAAAGAAGUUGAAGGAGUUCAUUAAUGAACUGGAGUAAACCAGAUGGAAGAAUGUCACAAUAUUUUAGUCAAGAGCUGUGACAGCCUAGAGUGGUGGUGUUAAAAAUCCAAAGAACUUGACAGCUUUGAAAGAUUUGAAGGUAAAAUGGCUAGGUCUUGGUAAGGGGAUAGGUGGUGUUAAAGAAGAAUCUGAAGUUUUUCCCUUGCAGGUCGAUGCAGUAAAAUGAUAUGUGAUAAGAACACAAGGGGAGACAAAGACAUUUGAGAAGGAUGGACAGAAGGACGGACACAAAUACAUACAUGCAUACAAUAUGCAUGUUACAGGAAGUACAUCAAAAGGAUGCAGCACACAGAUGGUCCUAUAAAUAUUUUGGCAUAUGUUGUUUUCUUUUAGAUUUUUAAAAAAUUUUUAUUAGUGCAUUACAGUUAUACAUAAUAUUGGGGUUCAUUUCAGCAUGAUCAUACAUGCUACUCCACUGUUAUUUCUUUUUCAUGUUAUUCACUGCUCUAAUGAAGACAAACCAUGAACAGUGUUUACCAAGAGUUUGUUGAACAGCCCUGUAUGUCAUGCUGUAUUGGAUACAUGAAUCAAUGGACAAGGCCCCUUGGUCUCAUUGAGCUCAUUUACUUGAUAAUGGAGAAGUAGUUGUAAAUGCUAUGCCUCGUAUUAAAAGAAGGAAAUGUAGGGGCUGGGGUUGUAGCUCAGUUAUAGAGUGCUCACCUAGCAUGCUUGAGGCACUGAGUUUGAUCCUCAGCACCACAUAAAU
rnacentral:lncRNA from 1 species